rnacentral:rRNA from 1 species
GAUGAACGCUGGCGGCGUGCCUAACACAUGCCAGUCGAACGGAAAGGUCCAAGCUUGCUUGGGUCCUCGAGUGCCGAACGGGUGAGUAACACGUGGGUGUUUUGCCCUUCACUUCGGGAUAUACCUUGGAAACUGGGUCUAUUACCGGAUAGGAUCUCUUUUUGCAUGGUGUGCUGGAGAGUUUUUCGGUGUGGGUUGAGCUCGCGGCCUAUCAGCUUGUUGGUGGGGUAAUGGGCUACCAAGGCGCUGACGGGUGGCCGGACUGGGAGGGUGUGCGGCCACAGUGGGACCGAGAUGAGGCCCAGGUACCUACGGGGAGGCGAAGGGGGAAAGAGUGAAAGAUGGGCGCGAGCCAGAUGCAGAGACGGCGCGGGGGGGAUGACGGUGUUGGGGUUGGAAACGCCAUUCGCUAGGAACGAAGCGUUAUGUGACGGUACCUGGAGAAGAAGCACCGGCUAACUACGUG